GACGAACGCUGGCGGCGUGCUUAACACAUGCAAGUCGAACGGAAAGGCCGUGCUUUUGUGGGGUGCUCGAGUGGCGAACGGGUGAGUAACACGUGAGUAACCUGCCCUUGACUUUGGGAUAACUUCAGGAAACUGGGGCUAAUACCGGAUAGGAGCUCCUGCUGCAUGGUGGGGGUUGGAUAGUUUCGGCGGUUGGGGAUGGACUCGCGGCUUAUCAGCUUGUUGGUGGGGUAGUGGCUUACCAAGGCUUUGACGGGUAGCCGGCCUGAGAGGGUGACCGGCAACAUUGGGACUGAGAUACGGCCCAGACUGCUACGGGAGGCAGCAGUGGGGAAUAGUGAACAAUGGGCGGAAGCCUGAUGCAGAAACGCCGCGGGCGGGAUGACGGCCUUCGGGUUGUAAAACGCUUUAGCCUGUGACGAAGCGUGAGUGACGGUAAUGGGUAAAGAAGCACCGGCUAACUACGUG
rnacentral:rRNA from 1 species